rnacentral:tRNA from 1 species
GAAGGUACAGCUCAGGGGCAGAGCAUGUGCUUCACAUGCACAAGGUCCUGGGUUCGAUCCCCAGCACCUCCU